rnacentral:tRNA from 1 species
AAAUAAGAAGCAAAAAAUUGCAAUUAGUUUCGACCUAACCCCUGGUAAUUAGUUACCCUUAUUUA